rnacentral:tRNA from 1 species
AUUUAAAUAAUUUAAUUAAAAUAUUGAUUUGUGGUAUCAAAAAUAUGGAUAAGUUCAUUUUAGAUU